rnacentral:rRNA from 1 species
UCUAAACGACUCUCGGCAACGGAUAUCUCGGCUCUCGCAUCGAUGAAGAACGCAGCGAAAUGCGAUACUUGGUGUGAAUUGCAGAAUCCCGUGAACCAUCGAGUCUUUGAACGCAAGUUGCGCCCGAAGCCUUCUGGCCGAGGGCACGCCUGCCUGGGCGUCAC